CCGAGAGACCAGACCCAUGUGCUUGUCCUUCGCGUUUCGCCUUCCUCAAGCCUGGGAUACUACUGCCACGCCGCCGCACGAUCUGCUCCCCGCCGCCGUUUGGUGCACCAUGGAUGGAUUUGGUUGAGGCAACUCUUCGUCGCACCUUGCUGGAUAGCUGAUCCAUGCUUCAUUCGCCAGUUCGCCAGUUCGUCGUGAGAUUGUUGCCGUUCGUGCUAUGCUCCGUCAGCCGUGUGUAGCUUCGUCCCUCCUGUGUGCCGUCCGCUCUUUCUGCCGAGUUCAAGUGUUUGUUGAAAUGUCUCUGAGGUGACGAUCCUGAUUCCUGCUGUUGAUCCGCACUGUUGCUGCCUAGGAAGUUUCACUCUAUCAAGAUCUAUUGGAAAUACUGAUAUUGGCAUAUUUACCACUCCUGCCUGUCAAAUAUUUGAGGGCGAAUUUUCCUGAAGGCAUGGAUCAAAAUAAAGAUUAGUAUUAUCACAGUUGGGAAUUGGCAUCUGUUUGGUGUUGGAUUUGUGGUUGUGCUGAUAAGAGAUUGUGCUCUAACUGAUGGAUGUGUCAUACAGUGAAAGUAAUAUAACAUAUAUCCUAUGCCAGGAAAUCUGAAAGAUGUGGUUUUGUCAAUUUCUUUUAAAAUGAAGCAGCUGCUGCAUUGGAGAAGAGGGUGUUGAGGUAAAAGUGUUCCAUUGCAUCUGUUGAUAUAGCACAGGACAAGUUCUUGCAGGACAAUAUGCAUCGAUGAAUAUAGUUUUUCCUCAUUAGGCUAACACAGCUUUGGGGCAUAUAAUUGUAUCAAUUGCUUCAGUGAAGGAACAUAUAGUGCAGUAUGCAAACAACGGAUUAUCCGUCGUUGCUAUUGAGAUGAGUAAGGUACUUAUUCGAUAUAACUUUUUGUAUUUAGAAUUUAUGAUGGUAAAUGGAGUCUUCGACAUGUACCCUAAUAUUUCAUGUAUUUGCAUAGCCAUCAAUGAAUAACAUAAGUUCAAUAUUAUGCCCACUACACCAAAUAGACAAUUUUGUUAAUGUUUCAUCUUGCCGUUGCCUGUAGAGCUUGAUUAUUUUUUAGUUUAGGUUUGACUAGGUCAUCUGAGCUUUUAGCAUACCAGUGAGAAAAGCGUGCAAAACUGGAUAGCUGAACCUAUAACUGAGAAUCCGGAUAGUUGAGUCUUAAUUUCAGUUGAUACAAAAUUGUUUCAUCUUGCAUAAUCAUAGUAAAAUUUAUAAGUUCCAAUAACUAUGAGUAUGGGACUGAAGAGACCCAAAACUUUCUUAGCGUCCUUCCUGCCUCCAUGCUCCCCAAUGGCGGAAGUUCCAAUAAUGGUUAUGGAUCAGUGGGAACGGAAAAUCUGAUGCCAACGUACAGAUCUUUUAGUGCGCUACAUGUUUCCCCUAUUUUCCUCCACUUCUUUCUCUAUUCAGCUGCAAGUUUGGUUAAUCUAUCAAGUACAUAUGUAUCUCUGAACAAAGGAUUCAGAUUCUGCUAGGUUCACGUGCUCCUAAUACUUAUUUAGUUACUCAUCUCUGCCACAGAUUUCAGUAUUCACUUGAAUUAGUAACUUCUAGAUAAGGACAUUUAAAUUUGUUUACAUCCACUAAAAUAAGAACCCACAAGCUCCUCAAAUGGGUCUUCCCUAUUUUUGUUUAAUUGUAAAACAGGCUCAGGUUUGCACAAGCACAAGUAUUUCUGUGAAAUGAAGGGGUUUGUUGAAGUGUUCUUACAGAAACACAAUUCAAAAUACUUUCACAUUAGGUUUUUUUUUCUUCUCUUGGACUGUUUGGCUUUACUUAAAUAUUGGUUGAUGAUAGCAUGGGAUUGCUGAUAUGUCAGAUGUAACCAUAGUCUUGAACCACCAGCAAUAGAAUCUCUACUGGUUUAUUAUCAAUAGUCAGUGUGUAAAUGAAAGUUUUUUACUUCUUUAUAAAUAGUUUGAUUCUUAAGUAGAAUUAGGAACUGAAUGUCUACUACUGUCUUCAAUUUUAAUAUUGCCCCCGUUUUGAAAUAUAAGCCCUUUUAGAUAGCUAAAUUAGCUUUCUAAAAAGGCUUACAUUCGGAGCGGAGGUAGUAUGUCACUACGCCUCUAGCAUUUAGGUACAUAAGUACGGUUAUAAAUUCUUUGGGAAUCUUUAACUGAAUAUGUGUGUUGUCUCUUUUGUAGUUUACAUAUUGGUUAUCCUUUGCGUUUUGAACUUAAUCCUCGUUGAUGCGAACCAUCGGAUUGAGAAGAAAUAAUUGCUUGGACUGGUUAGGCCGCAGCAAGGAGGCGUCUGGCUGGAGGAGGGACCAGAGCUUGGGUUGGCUAGAGCGCUGCGACCAGUACUCCAGAGGACCUUCUAGCUAGGCGUGAGGCUGGCAACAAAAGGACGCCAUGCCCCUAUCCGUCGUCCUGCUGCUUGCACUCAUGGGGCUAUUAUUGAAUCGUGAUAGCAAAAUUGGCUAGGAAUGGAGGCACGUGAUACGUAGAACUUUUGGCCGCACAAGGCACCAAAUACUUGUUACAUUUGUAUUGGUGCAAGACUAGAUGCAUGUAACGUGAUUGUAUUACUUGGUACAGUAUCUUAUUAUUAUUAACUACUACUGUAUCUAUUAAUAACCAUGUAACUGGUUUAUUCUA